ACUCAAAGGAAUUGACGGGGGCCCGCACAAGCGGUGGAGCAUGUGGUUUAAUUCGACGCAACGCGAAGAACCUUACCUAGGCUUGACAUGCACGGGACACCUCGGGGAAACCUGAGGCUCCCUUCGGGGUCCGUGCACAGGUGCUGCAUGGCUGUCGUCAGCUCGUGUCGUGAGAUGUUGGGUUAAGUCCCGCAACGAGCGCAACCCUCGCCCCUAGUUGCCAGCGGUUCGGCCGGGAACUCUAGGGGGACUGCCGGUGCCAAACCGGAGGAAGGUGGGGAUGACGUCAAGUCAUCAUGGUCCUUACGUCUAGGGCUACACACGUGCUACAAUGGCGCGUACAGAGGGCCGCGAGCCGGCAACGGUGAGCCAAUCCCCAAAGCGCGCCUCAGUUCGGAUUGUCCUCUGCAACUCGAGGGCAUGAAGCUGGAAUCGCUAGUAAUCGUGGAUCAGCUACGCCACGGUGAAUACGUUCCCGGGCCUUGUACACACCGCCCGU
rnacentral:rRNA from 1 species